rnacentral:rRNA from 1 species
CGGCGUGCUUAACACAUGCAAGUCGAACGGGAUCCAUCAAGCUUGCUUGGUGGUGAGAGUGGCGAACGGGUGAGUAAUGCGUGACCAACCUGCCCUGUACUCUGGAAUAGCUCCUGGAAACGGGUGGUAAUGCCGGAUGCUCCACAUGGGUGCAUGCCUGUGUGGGAAAGGGUUUACCGGUAUGGGAUGGGGUCGCGUCCUAUCAGCUUGACGGCGGGGUAAUGGCCCACCGUGGCUUUGACGGGUAGCCGGCCUGAGAGGGCGACCGGCCACAUUGGGACUGAGAUACGGCCCAGACUCCUACGGGAGGCAGCAGUGGGGAAUAUUGCACAAUGGGGGGAACCCUGAUGCAGCGACGCCGCGUGCGGGAUGACGGCCUUCGGGUUGUAAACCGCUUUUGAUUGGGAGCAAGCGUUAAGUGAGUGUACCUUUCGAAUAAGCGCCGGCUAACUACGUGCCAGCAGCCGCGGUAAUACGUAGGGCGCAAGCGUUGUCCGGAAUUAUUGGGCGUAAAGGGCUCGUAGGCGGCUCGUCGCGUCUGGUGUGAAAGUCCAUCGCUUAACGGUGGAUCUGCGCCGGGUACGGGCGGGCUGGAGUGCGGUAGGGGAGACUGGAAUUCCCGGUGUAACGGUGGAAUGUGUAGAUAUCGGGAGGAACACCAAUGGCGAAGGCAGGUCUCUGGGCCGUUACUGACGCUGAGGAGCGAAAGCGUGGGGAGCGAACAGGAUUAGAUACCCUGGUAGUCCACGCCGUAAACGGUGGACGCUGGAUGUGGGGCCCAUUCCACGGGUUCCGUGUCGGAGCUAACGCGUUAAGCGUCCCGCCUGGGGAGUACGGCCGCAAGGCUAAAACUCAAAGAAAUUGACGGGGGCCCGCACAAGCGGCGGAGCAUGCGGAUUAAUUCGAUGCAACGCGAAGAACCUUACCUGGGCUUGACAUGUUCCCGGCGACAUCAGAGAUGGUGUUUCCCUUCGGGGCGGGUUCACAGGUGGUGCAUGGUCGUCGUCAGCUCGUGUCGUGAGAUGUUGGGUUAAGUCCCGCAACGAGCGCAACCCUCGCCCCGUGUUGCCAGCACGUCAUGGUGGGAACUCACGGGGGACCGCCGGGGUUAACUCGGAGGAAGGUGGGGAUGA